rnacentral:rRNA from 1 species
UACGUAGGGUGCAAGCGUUAAUCGGAAUUACUGGGCGUAAAGCGUGCGCAGGUGGUUGUGUAAGCUUGAUGUGAAAUCCCCGGGCUUAACCUGGGAAUGGCAUUGAGGACUGCACGGCUAGAGUGUGGCAGAGGGGGGUGGAAUUCCGCGUGUAGCAGUGAAAUGCGUAGAGAUGCGGAGGAACACCGAUGGCGAAGGCAGCCCCCUGGGCUAACACUGACUCUCAUGCACGAAAGCGUGGGGAGCAAACAGG